rnacentral:rRNA from 1 species
GACGGAGGGUGCGAGCGUUAAUCGGAAUUACUGGGCGUAAAGCGCAUGUAGGCGGUCGAACAAGUCAGGUGUGAAAUCCUCGGGCUUAACCUGGGAAGUGCACCUGAUACUGUCCGGCUAGAGUUUGGCAGAGGAAAGUAGAAUUCCCGGUGUAGCGGUGAAAUGCGUAGAUAUCGGGAGGAAUACCAGUGGCGAAGGCGCCUUUCUGGGCCAAUACUGACGCUGAGGUGCGAAAGCGUGGGGAGCAAACAGG